rnacentral:rRNA from 1 species
UACGUAGGGUGCGAGCGUUGUCCGGAAUUAUUGGGCGUAAAGAGCUCGUAGGCGGUUUGUCGCGUCUGCUGUGAAAACUCGGGGCUUAACUCCGGGCCUGCAGUGGGUACGGGCAGACUAGAGUGCGGUAGGGGAGACUGGAAUUCCUGGUGUAGCGGUGAAAUGCGCAGAUAUCAGGAGGAACACCGGUGGCGAAGGUGGGUCUCUGGGCCGUAACUGACGCUGAGGAGCGAAAGCGUGGGGAGCGAACAGG